AGUUCAUCCAUCGGGGGCCACAGAAGGAGCGUUCUUGUCGUGGUCCCUGCCAGGCUUUGCCUGCGAAUCCUUCU
rnacentral:ribozyme from 1 species